rnacentral:rRNA from 1 species
ACGCCUACGGGGGGCAGCAGUGGGGAAUAUUGCACAAUGGGGGAAACCCUGAUGCAGCGACGCCGCGUGAGUGAAGAAGUAUCUCGGUACGUAAAGCUCUAUCAGCAGGGAAGAAAAUGACGGUACCUGACUAAGAAGCCCCGGCUAACUACGCGCCAGCACCCGCGGUAAUACGUAGGGGGCAAGCGUUAUCCGGAUUUACUGGGUGUAAAGGGAGCGUAGACGGCAGCGCAAGUCUGGCGUGAAAUGCCGGGGUC